CUCGAGCUAGCCAUUCCUCUCAACGCCGGCGAGCUUAGUCCCUCCCUUUCGCGCUGCCACAGUCCCGCUAGCGCUAGAUCUGUUUCACCGCAACCACUGUCCCGUUCGUAGCCCGUUCGAAGGUGCUCCUUCUCUCGGUGUCUCCCUCUUUCGUGCUCUGUUCAAGGCUUCUAGCUUCGAAGGUGCUCUCUUUCGCCGCCGUCGCGCUCACAUAGAGGAAGAAUCAUCUCAAGUGCCGCCGUUUCCUCCUCCUCUCGGUCAAGCCGUCAUCCACUUCUCUGCUGCGCCGCUGUCUACUUCUCAAUCGUCCUACUCGCCGCGGUCUUUGUCAUCCGCGACACUCAGUCACGCCACAUCUUCCAUCUUAGGGACAAACUCUAGCGUUGGCUCAAGGCAGGAGAAAUAUGGAAUGACUAACAAACCCCGAGGAGAGCCUGAGGAUGCGCAAUGAUCGAACAAAGGUGAAAGAGGUGUCUUCCGAAGUAUCAAAGUAUAUCCACUGGAAUCAAAUGACAAGAGACUUAAUUAUGAACCACCUACAGAUUUACUUAGCAAGGUACUUACAAACUGUAUUCCAUUUCUCCAAUGUUAAUGUGAUCCAUACUUUCUUUGAUAUAUAUUUAGCUAAUAUUUGAGCCUGAUUUGCAGUUGUCCCUGGUUUCUGAAGUGAAAAAACCUGUAAAACUGCCAUCUAAGGUGCAGCCAAUUUCCUAGGUUCUGCUAUUUCAGCACUCAUAUAACAACUUAAGAUUCUUUUGAGUGGGUAAAGGUUUAUUGAAAGAGAUUCAGAAAAGUAUUUUCUUUGAAUGAUAUUUUAAAGCUUACAUUAGACUAUAAUUAUAUUUUCAUGUGUUUAUUUAUAUUUUAUUUAUUAUUUUAUUAUAAAA